UACGGAGGGAGCUAGCGUUAUUCGGAAUUACUGGGCGUAAAGCGCACGUAGGCGGCUUUGUAAGUUAGAGGUGAAAGCCCAGGGCUCAACCCUGGAAUUGCCUUUAAGACUGCAUCGCUUGAACAUCGGAGAGGUAAGUGGAAUUCCGAGUGUAGAGGUGAAAUUCGUAGAUAUUCGGAAGAACACCAGUGGCGAAGGCGGCUCGCUGGCUCAUUUCUGACGCUGAGGUGCGAAAGCGUGGGGAGCAAACAGG
rnacentral:rRNA from 1 species